rnacentral:rRNA from 1 species
UACGUAGGGGGCAAGCGUUGUCCGGAUUUAUUGGGCGUAAAGAGCGUGUAGGCGGCUUUACAGGUCCGUUGUGAAAACUCGAGGCUCAACCUCGAGACGCCGGUGGAAACCGUAAAGCUAGAGUCCGGAAGAGGAGAGUGGAAUUCCUGGUGUAGCGGUGAAAUGCGCAGAUAUCAGGAGGAACACCGGUGGCGAAGGCGGGUCUCUGGUACGUGACUGACGCUGAGACGCGAAAGCGUGGGGAGCAAACAGG